rnacentral:rRNA from 1 species
AGGACGAACGCUGGCGGCGUGCUUAACACAUGCAAGUCGAGCGGAAAGGCCCUUCGGGGUACUCGAGCGGCGAACGGGUGAGUAACACGUGAGCAACCUGCCCUUAGCUCUGGGAUAGCUCCGGGAAACCGGAAUUAAUACCGGAUAUGACCUAGGCCGACAUCGGCCGUGGUGGAAAGUUUUUCGGCUAGGGAUGGACUCGCGGCCUAUCAGCUAGUUGGUGGGGUAAUGGCCUACCAAGGCGACGACGGGUAGCCGGCCUGAGAGGGCGACCGGCCACACUGGGACUGAGACACGGCCCAGACUCCUACGGGAGGCAGCAGUGGGGAAUCUUGCGCAAUGGGCGAAAGCCUGACGCAGCGACGCCGCGUGGGGGAUGAAGGCCUUCGGGUUGUAAACCGCUUUCAGCAGGGACGAAGCGAAAGUGACGGUACCUGCAGAAGAAGCGCCGGCUAACUACGUGCCAGCAGCCGC